CAACAAAAAAAAGUAUAUAACGAUAUUUUUAAAUAUUGAUACAAGUCAAAAAAAAUACUGCUGAUUAAAUUAUCGAUACUUUUUUAAAGUGUUGCUAUAUAUGGGAUCACCGUAUGUGGGACCGUCUCAAUAUUUGGUAUCCACUCGUUCUGCGACCUGUGGCGAAGGGACACGUGGCGAUCGUAAUCUUUUAUGUUCCCUGCGAGAUCCUGGCGGCAGAAUUCCAACCGUCGAAACCUUAUCUCGUCGGCUGCUGCGGCGAAGGAGGAGAAGGAGAGAUGGUGAUCAUUUUUUUUUUUUUUACCUUUUCUAUUUGUAGGAUUAGUUGAGUAGAGGAAUUUUUUAUUUUUGAUUGUUUUGAGUUUUAUAUUUAGACCUUAAUAAAUUGUUCAAAACAAUUUUGACAUAAAUAUGAUACUUACACAAAAGUACUCCAAAAAUGUGUUCCUAUAAUAUAAUCUAAUUCUGUUGUAGUAGCGUUCAAUUCAAAAUAGAAAUUAAAAUAAGAAUAAAAUCAAAAUG
rnacentral:lncRNA from 1 species